UAUCAGGCUCGCCCAAGACAUCUAGCCACGCCACGCCCAGGGCCCUCAGCAGUGAUUAACCUUAAGAUAAACGUCAGUUUGACUUAGUUAAUGAAAAUAGAGCCGGCCAAUCUGGUGCCAGCCGCCGCGGUUACACCAGAGGCUCAAAUUGAUUCGGCGUAAAGCGUGAUUAAAGGGUCAAACUUAAAUUAAACUGUAAUAAGCCUAUUCUUAAAGCCCUAACACAAAAGACACCCCAACCAACCAACUUGAAUCCACGACAACUAGAAUACAAACUGGGAUUAGAUACCCCACUAUGCCUAGUCGUAAACUUUAACUUACCGCCUGGGAACUACGAGCAAAGCUUAAAACCCAAAGGACUUGACGGUGCCCCACAUCCUUCUAGAGGAGCCUGUCCUACAACCGAUACCCCCCGUUUAACCUCACCACCCCUAGCUCAGCUUGUAUACUUCCGUCGUCAGCUUACCGCGUGAGCGAAAGUAGGCCUAAUGUCCCACAUCAAUACGUCAGGUCAAAGUGCAGCUCAUGGGGUGGCAAGAGAUGGGCUACACUUUCUAUAGAAGACACGAAAAACCUAUGUGAAACACCAAGAAGGCGGAUUUAGCAGUAAGAGACCAGAAUGCCCCUGUUAACGGCCCUGGGGUGUGUACAUACCGCCCGUCACCCUCU
rnacentral:rRNA from 1 species